UACGUAGGGGGCAAGCGUUGUCCGGAAUCAUUGGGCGUAAAGAGCGUGUAGGCGGCCAGAUAAGUCCGCUGUGAAAUCUCGAGGCUCAACUUCGAGCUGUCGGUGGAAACUGUCUGGCUAGAGUCCGGAAGAGGAGAAUGGAAUUCCUGGUGUAGCGGUGAAAUGCGUAGAUAUCGAGAGGAACACCAGUGGCGAAGGCGAGUCUCUGGACGACACCUGACACUGAGGCACGAAAGCUAGGGGAGCAAACAGG
rnacentral:rRNA from 1 species